CAUUAUAAGAGUUAAAAUUAACUCAUAAAUUACAUAUUGGGUAUAAAAUACAAUGUAUGUUAGAAGUUGUUUCAGAAGGCUAUGGUUUUCUGAUUUUUUUAUGCUCAGUAGUGAUAUGCAAAAAAGACAAAGUUGACAUCAGUUAACUUUUACCUUUAUUCUACUUUCCCCAAAGUAAGAAUAAUCUAACCCCUUUGAGAUGAGCAAAAGCUCAUCUUUUUUUAUUAUCAAAAG
rnacentral:ncRNA from 1 species